GACGAACGCUGGCGGCGCGCCUAACACAUGCAAGUCGAACGGAGUCAAGAGGAGCUUGCUUUUCUUGACUUAGUGGCGAACGGGUGAGUAACGCGUGAGUAACCUGCCCUGGAGUGGGGGACAACAGUUGGAAACGACUGCUAAUACCGCAUAAGCCCACGGAUCCGCAUGGAUCUGCGGGAAAAGGAUUUAUUCGCUUCAGGAUGGACUCGCGUCCAAUUAGCUAGUUGGUGAGGUAACGGCCCACCAAGGCGACGAUUGGUAGCCGGACUGAGAGGUUGAACGGCCACAUUGGGACUGAGACACGGCCCAGACUCAUACGGGAGGCAGCAGUGGGGGAUAUUGCACAAUGGGGGAAACCCUGAUGCAGCGACGCCGCGUGGAGGAAGAAGGUUUUCGGAUUGUAAACUCCUGUCGUUAGGGACGAUAAUGACGGUACCUAACAAGAAAGCACCGGCUAACUACGUG
rnacentral:rRNA from 1 species